GACGAACGCUGGCGGCGUGCCUAAUACAUGCAAGUCGAGCGGAGUUUUUAAAAGCUUGCUUUUAAAAACUCAGCGGCGGACGGGUGAGUAACACGUGGGCAACCUGCCCUGUAGACUGGGAUAACUUCGGGAAACCGAAGCUAAUACCGGAUAAUCAUAGAAGUUGCAUAGCUUCUAUGUAAAAGUUGGGUUUACCUAACACUACAGGAUGGGCCCGCGUCGCAUUAGCUAGUUGGUAAGGUAACGGCUUACCAAGGCGACGAUGCGUAGCCGACCUGAGAGGGUGAUCGGCCACACUGGGACUGAGACACGGCCCAGACUCCUACGGGAGGCAGCAGUAGGGAAUCUUCCGCAAUGGACGAAAGUCUGACGGAGCAACGCCGCGUGAGCGAUGAAGGCCUUUCGGGUCGUAAAGCUCUGUUGUUAGGGAAAGAAACAAAGUGCUAAUUCGAAUAAG
rnacentral:rRNA from 1 species